rnacentral:lncRNA from 1 species
UAUCAACAAAAUAAUUUGUACAUUUAGUAAUGACUAAAUUACUUUUUUGAUGUUUGUUUACUCAUAAUAUCUAUAAAAAUUCUUAUUAAUUGUAACUUGCUGACUGAGUUGAGUAACAUACAUUUGUUAAUAUUUUAUAUACCUUAUUUUUUUAUUUUUGUUUACUUCAUUUUAUCACUCAAUCAGCACCAUACUUUCAUGUUUUUAAAAAUAAAACAAUUCAAAAUAUAUUAUUGUAUAUUUCAAUGGAAUGUGAUGCAUGGAAAAAAUUUGAUGUGAAGUGGUGGUAUCUUGAUUUUAGCAUUAUUUAGCAGACAGGCAACUAAAACUGUAAAAAGUGGUUGACACACAAUUCAUUUUUAUUUAUUAUAUUUUCUCUUUACUUAUUCAAUGGUAACUAACUACCACUAUGAUUAACAUUUUAAAUUAUUCAUAUUUAAACUAAAACUUUCUUUGCAUUCACUUUCAAUAAAAAGUUUCCAAUUAUAAUCUCUUUUAAUAAAACUUGGAGUUUUAUUAGUCAAUACUUUUUGCAUUUUUAGACAACCUUGUAGUAGGCACUAUAUUACACUAAAAAAUUGUGAGAGUGAAUUUUGGCAAUAUUGUGUAAAAAGGCAAUAAAAUAAUGACUUUUGAUAAUUAUGUAUUGUACGAAAAAAAAUUUGAAGCAAUGAAAUUUUAGUUUUGAUACAUUGUGCUAUAAAAUAGUAAAAUAAUCCUUUUUUUGUGUUGAUAAUAUUGUAUUUAAAUAACCUUGGAAUAUUUGUAAUUCUGUUUCAUAAAACCCAGUUUCUCUAAGCUGAAAAUGGAACUGAAAUUUGUAUUUAAAAAAUUAACGUAUCGAAUUAAGCUAUAAUUAUUUCUAGUUCUAUUUCACAAAUUCUGGGUUUAAUGCAAUUUGAUCCCAGUAUGCUUUCAAGUGUUACCUCUCACUACUACCAAGAUAUUAGUUACUACCUCAUUCUCUCAAUACUCUAUAAACUUUAUUUAUUUGUAUUUUAAAACAUAAGGUAUAGAAUUAUACCUUAUGUUUUAUACCUUAUGUCUUAUACUUGAAAUAACUUUUCUUUUACCCUUUUUAGCAUUUUUCAACACCUUUUUAGAAUUUUACCAGAAGACUCCAGUAAAAGUAAUGAAGUGUAACGUUUGCCCCUACAAAACAUAUGACCGAAGUAAUUUCAGAGUUCACCUAAGAAAACAUACUGGUGAGAGACCUUUUAAGUGUUCUCGGUGCUUGAAAUCCUUCACUCAGAAAAUUUCUCUUCAACGUCAUAGUCUCAGUUGCAAGCCGCUCAUCAUCUAGUUACAUUGGAUGUUUUUUCCAAGACUCAGAACAAACAUUAUUAAUUCUUUUCUCGUGACCUCCAUGCCAAUGGAAAUAAAGUGCAGUUACUGUUCUUACAAAACUUGGAAUAAAGGCAACUUAAAAGUUCACCUACGGAAACACACAGGAGAAAAGCCUUUCAAGUGCUCAUACUGCUUCAAAUGUUUUUCACAAAAAGUUCAUCUUCAGAGACAUCUUUUCAAAUCAUGUCCUGGACACAAACUAUGAGCUCUCUCUUUACAAACCUCGAUGAUUUGUAAGGAAUUUCGGACCAUCAUCUACGUUUCUACUCUCAACAUCAAGUAUACUUGGAAUUUUGAACCAUCUUACCAUGAUCAAGUAUAUUGUCCUUUUUUUUCCAUAGCUCUAUUUUUUAACAGUCCUCGUAAAAUCCCAUUCAGUGGUUUGCUUCUUGAUGUGUUUAUUUUGAUCUGGUUGGCAUCUGAGGUGGUAAUUAAAUCUUUAAAAUUUAACCAACAAAAAGACUAUCAGUCACAGUAAAUUUAACACGACCACUAUGUUUAAUUGGCUGCCCAGAUUGAAGCCAGGUGUGUGAUAGAAGAGAUUUUAACGUAGCCCUAAACAGUUUGAAACUUUGAAUUUAAUCACGUAGAUAGUUGAAAAUAUACAUGGAUCAUAGUUUAUAUAUAUAUAAAGGAUCACACCCCAGCUAUUAUUUUUUUUUAAAUACUAGUUCAUUACAAUUGUUUAAAAUAACAGAUGUCUUGAAGAACAAAAUACUUCUAUACUCUUGCUAUUGAUUUGAAAAUAGUCUGAGUUUUUUUUCUGAAUUUUUAUAAAAAAAUUGGUUAUGUAUAAUUUUUUUUUCCAACUUAGCCAUUUGUCAAAACAGUAUAAUUUUUUUUCUUCAUUUGCAAGAUAGUGUUUGCUACUGUAUGUAGGUCAAAUAAUAACCCACGAAUUCUUUUUUACAAACCGAUACGAAAUUGGUUUAAGAUACUUUAAAAAAGUCAUAAGUAAUGUACAAAGUAGAAAUUACAAAACAGUUUUAAAAAUACACUCGUGGACAAAAAAAUUAGCGCAGCAAGAAGGAGUUGCCAAAAUGAAACGAAAUUUUACAUACGUAAUGACUACUUUGAUAUAAGUAAAUGAUUAGAAAAUCAAAAAAACAGGAUAAUUUAUUUCAGAGAAAAAGGCAAAAGAAUGGAGGAGUUAAUAUCACAUUGCACGAUGCGAUGCGGGCAUUGAGGCAUACAAGUUCUGUAUGAUGUCUUGAGACAUUUCAUGCCAUAUUUGCUGUAACCUUGCCUCUAGUUCGUUCAAACUCAUGGGAUGCCCAACUCGCCGUCCCAAAUGAUCCCAGAUAUGUUCGAUUGGAGACAAAUCUGGGGAUCAGGCAAGCCAAGGAAGGGUAAUAACAGUACGGAGACAGUCUUGUGACACCCUUGCCGUAUGAGGCCGAGUAUUGUCUUGUUGAAAAAUGGCAUGUGGUUGCAGGAUUUCAUGGACAUACCACUGGGCUGUCAUGGUGCCACGCAACAAUACUAGGGAUGACCGUGUAUUGUAGGCAAUUGCACCCCAUACCAUCACAUCACAACCAGCUGUGGGAGCGGUGUGUUGCUGUACAGCAAAGGCAGGAUUGGGGCGUUCACCACGAGGUCUCCAUACAUGAACAUGAUUGUCAUCACUGUUGAGAUUGAAUCUGGAUUCGUCGCCUAAGACGACCUGGUUCCAUUCCGCUGCAGUCCAGUUUACUCGUGCGCGGCAAAACUGCCAACGGAAGCGUCGAUGGGUAGGCGCAAUUAUUUCUCUGUGAAUUUUUUUGUCCACGAGUGUAUAACUGUUGCAGUCAAACUUUUAUAUUUGUGAGAAAACCAUCUAAAGCUUACUAUUAGAAAUAGUGUUUUUUUUUGUUUUAAACUUUCUAAAAAAAAAAAAGAAACAAAUCAAGUAAUGAAUGAAAUGUGCACAUUGCUCUCUCUUUUGACGAGAAUUUGCUGCAAUUUUCUGUUAUUGUUAAUUCAAAAUAUAACCACUUAAAAUACAUAAUCAAUAAAAUAGUCAAUAAAUUUAUUUAUGUUAGGUUAGUUCAGCCUUUGCUGAUGUCGCUUUCAUCUGUUUUUAGCUAGGAAUAUUUUACUUUUAGCUAACUAGGUUUUCAAGUCUUAUUUCUGAAAAAAUAAUUUAAAGUACAAUAAUUUUAUAAGAAAUAUGUAGUAUUGUCCAAAAUGUGAACUUCUAAACUCCCAGGUACAAAAGAUUUUUGGCACUAGGGGGGGGGGGGAGAAGGAAUAAACUAAUAUUGAAUUUUCCAGAAAUAAUAAGUAAGAUUUAAUUUAAUUCCAUAUUCUUUCCGACUCUUCUAAUUAGAGCACUUUAGAUUAUUCUACAGAAAAUUCUUUCAAUAUAGUUAACAUUUAUUCACUCAAUAUAAUUAAAACCUUAAAAUAUACUUUUAGUUUGGACAUAAACCAAAUGAAAGAAAUAUUCAUCAUUGUUUAUGUAAAUAUGUUCCUUAGCUGUUUGUGUUACAAAUAUAUAACAAAAUAAUAUGAGUUUUGUUUUAACUUAGUAGAUACAUAUCCUCAUACUUUAGCAGUCUUGAAAAUUGAACGUGUCCAAAUUGUUGGCAUAAUUCAGAAUACCAACCCCAACAUAUCCUGGAGUGUCUUGGUCUAGACAAAGGGGACAUUCUGAAUAACCCACUUUUGGUGGUCGACUUCCUCCGGGUCAUGAGUUUCAUGGACAUUGUAUAGCCCUGCUAACUUUGGGGAUAAGGAAGAAGAAUACCAACUACUGCAGUAAUUUCUGGAAAAUAUACAACAUUGAUUAUGCCUGUUUUAUUUAUAAACAAGAAUUCUUAAAAUAUUUCUAGCAUUAACGUGAAGAUUGAAUAUAAAUGAUUCGAUUCUGCACAAUGUUUUGAAAAUAAAUUCUUAUUUUCGAAACAUUGAAACAUUGUUUAAAAAAUUAAAUUCUUAAUUUUUUAAAGCAAUUUUAGCGGAUAUUUCCAUCAUUAAUAUCAAUUGCAAAAAUUACAAGUAUGUAUGCAUAUUUCAUACUAAAAAUAAUUUCUAAACUACUGAUAAAAAAGACACUAUAACACAAUUUUGUAGCUUCACAAUGUUUUCCAAUUAAUGUUUGGAAAAUCGAUUAUUACAUAUGUAUUACAGUGAUAUGUUAAACAUAUUAAAAUUGUUCAUUUGUAGUGCAGAAUAAUAAAAAUGCAAAGAUUUUUUUUUUC